rnacentral:rRNA from 1 species
CAGGUUGAAGGUGCGGUAAAACGCACUGGAGGACCGAACCAGGGCACGUUGAAAAGUGCUUGGAUGACUUGUGGGUAGCGGAGAAAUUCCAAACGAACUUGGAGAUAGCUGGUUCUCUCCGAAAUAGCUUUAGGGCUAGCGUCGACAUUAAGAUUCUUGGAGGUAGAGCACUGUUUGGGUGAGGGGUCCAUCCCGGAUUACCAAUCUCAGAUAAACUCCGAAUGCCAAUGAAUUAUGGUCGGCAGUCAGACUGCGAGUGCUAAGAUCCGUAGUCGAAAGGGAAACAGCCCAGACCACCAGCUAAGGUCCCAAAAUAAUUGUUAAGUGGAAAAGGAUGUGGGGUUGCACAGACAACUAGGAUGUUAGCUUAGAAGCAGCUAUUCAUUCAAAGAGUGCGUAAUAGCUCACUAGUCGAGUGACCCUGCGCCGAAAAUGUACCGGGGCUAAAACAAUUUACCGAAGCUGUGGAUACCUUUAUAGGUAUGGUAGGAGAGCGUUCUAUGUGUGGAGAAGGUGUACCGUGAGGAGCGCUGGAACGCAUAGAAGUGAGAAUGCCGGUAUGAGUAGCGAAAGACAGGUGAGAAUCCUGUCCACCGUAAGACUAAGGUUUCCAGGGGAAGGCUCGUCCGCCCUGGGUUAGUCGGGACCUAAGGAGAGACCGAAAGGUGUAUCCGAUGGACAACAGGUUGAUAUUCCUGUACUAGAGUAUGUAGUGAUGGAGGGACGCAGUAGGCUAACUAAAGCAGACGAUUGGAAGUGUCUGUCUAAGCAGUGAGGUGUGAAUUGAGUUAAAUGCUUAAUUCUAUAACAUUGAGCUGUGAUGGGGAGCGAAGUUUAGUAGCGAAGUUAGUGACGUCACACUGCCAAGAAAAGCUUCUAGCGUUUAAACAUACUCUACCCGUACCGCAAACCGACACAGGUAGUCGAGGCGAGUAGCCUCAGGUGAGCGAGAGAACUCUCGUUAAGGAACUCGGCAAAAUGACCCCGUAACUUCGGGAGAAGGGGUGCUGGUAGCAAUACCAGCCGCAGUGAAUAGGCCCAGGCGACUGUUUAUCAAAAACACAGGUCUCUGCAAAAUCGAAAGAUGACGUAUAGGGGCUGACGCCUGCCCGGUGCUGGAAGGUUAAGAGGAGAGGUUAGCGCAAGCGAAGCUUUGAAUUGAAGCCCCAGUAAACGGCGGCCGUAACUAUAACGGUCCUAAGGUAGCGAAAUUCCUUGUCGGGUAAGUUCCGACCCGCACGAAAGGCGUAAUGAUUUGGGCACUGUCUCAACGAGAGACUCGGUGAAAUUUUAGUACCUGUGAAGAUGCAGGUUACCCGCGACAGGACGGAAAGACCCCAUGGAGCUUUACUGUAGUUUGAUAUUGAGUGUUUGUGUCACAUGUACAGGAUAGGUAGGAGCUGAAGAAUCCGGGACGCCAGUUUCGGAGGAGGCAACGGUGGGAUACUACCCUUGUGACAUGACCACUCUAACCCGCACCCCUUACCGGGGUGGGAGACAGUGUCAGACGGGCAGUUUGACUGGGGCGGUCGCCUCCUAAAAUGUAACGGAGGCGCCCAAAGGUUCCCUCAGAAUGGUUGGAAAUCAUUCGCAGAGUG